UACCACAUUGUAAUGAGGGGCCCAUCAGU
rnacentral:piRNA from 1 species